UCCUCUGUAAGCAGAAUGUGGUCAACUGAUGAUGUUUGAAGUUGAUGAAUUAUUGAAAUAGCAGAUUAAGCACUUUAUCUAGAGGUAAGAGGGUAACUGCCAGAACAGUGCAAACAGGAAUUAUUAAAAUGCUCUACCCUGGGAAGCACAAUAAGGGGUUGAGAAGUGAUGGGGUCUUGAGCCUUUGCUUUUUGUCAUAAGUUCCUUUGCACUUUCUGGUCAUCACUAUUUUAUUUACCAUGUGCAUGACUUCCUUUCAGUGAGAACAAUGCUUUUCUGUUUCUUUUUCUUUUUUAAAGAACGGUUUUUUAAAAGACGGUGUGUAUGUUCGGUAGGAGGUCCUAUGGUUAAGCGCUGUGACUUUAGCAAGACUUUACCAUAUGGAAGGAGAUUUCAUUGUACAUUUAUUAUAUAGAGUGGGAACUUAAAUUGCUCAACAACUCAUAGUAUUGAGAAUCAGCCAUUCACACAUCCAUAGCCCAUGAAUGUGUCAAAGCACCAUUGUGAAUGUUCCAGAGAUAUCAUGGAGACAUCAGAAUGCAUUCAGUAUCCUACAGCAAAGAAGUCGAAGGAGUGUAUCACCUAACAGUAAUUUAUGUCCAAAUUGUCCCCAAAAAGGGUGCUUGAAGGGAUGAAUAGCAGUUGAGGGAAAAUUCACUCGUGACUCAAUAUCCCCAUUUCAUUGAGAUUGUAUUAUCAAAUCUUCUGGGUGGUUUUCUUGAGUACGGAGAAUGGCAUGCUUUCCUGUGUUGACUUGUAAAGUCCUCGGACCUCAGGGAAAAUAAAUAAAUGGAUUAUAAAAAGGUCCUAAGGUUGGGAGAACUAAGGAAAACCUGAAUGAGGGUGUAAGAAAAGUGAGUUCAGGCUGGGGAAUCAGGCAGUUGCCUGGAGUAAGAUCCAGUCAUAGCCUGGGAUGUGACUCAGAGGAUCAGACUCCCUCUGAACUGACACUUUGCUCCUGGUUAGAGAGGAAAAGCCAGGCUUCCUUGGACACCAGAAAGGAAAGACACCGAGUCUUCAAAAACCAGCUGAACAAGGAUAUCCUCAAGACAGAGGGAAAUGGCAUUAAUAAGGAGUCUCUUGUGUUGGGCAUUGAAUGCAUGCCAGGCACUGUGACAAACAUUUCCCAUAUAUUACCACUUUUCAUCCUUAACAACUAUCCCCUUGUACAGAUGAAGACUCCAAAGCUAAAGAAACAAACAAAAAAGACCCAGUCUGCUUCUGAGAGAUCAACAAGGAAAGGGUCAAAGAAAUGCUCACCCUCAGGGAAGGAGUGAGGGGAAAGAGGCAGAGAGGAAAAGAAACAAGAGGGAGAAACCGAGGACUGGCUUGUCUCUUGCCUUUAAUCACACCCCAAAGUGACCUAGGAUCGAGAAAGAGAGAUUCAGGUAGGCAGAAGCCCUCAGGAAGAAUCAAGCUUGGAUCCUGGAGUGGUCAAGAGUAUUCUAAGAAGGCCCACAGUGACCAGGAUAUAGAAAGGAAGAAGGAAGUGGGCCACAUGAAAUGGAAGACCAGUGCUGGCUCCAAACACUCUCGAAAUGUCUCCGGAUCUGAACCUAUCUCCUUUUAAAGCUCCACUGAGAAAUAAACAGAAAGAGAAGCUAAACUCUA